AGAGAUGGUAUCCCCAUUUUAUGGAUGAGAGAAGUGAGGCUCAGAGACGACUUUCCCCAGGUCACAGAGCUGGUGGGUUGGGGAGGCAUAUCCAGAUACCCGCCUCUCUGCCUGCUGCCAGGAACCCCACCACUCCCAGAGCCCCACUGCCCAAGCUGGUGGCCUGUGAGGCCUCCUGCCCUCACAGGCCCUGAGGCCCCCGUGCCCACAGGCAAAGGGAGAGAUCGCCAGUCCCCCUCCCAGCUGCACUCCCUACAAGCCCGCCUGACCUGAGGUGUCCCUCUGAAGAGUCCCUGAGCCUGCCUGCACCCCCUAGAGGGGCUCCACAGCCAUGUCCUGGUUGCGCUGAGCCUGCCUCCUGCCAGCAUUUCGGGGCUCUGUCCCUGCCCAGCUCCUGGACCCACUCCCCAGCCUAUUCCUCACCCCAGCC